CAGGAAAAAGAAUGGUAACAGAUAGAGAAAGAAUUUGUUCUUAUUCCUCCUGAGGGCCUGUCGGUGGACAUUGUGUGCAGCCCACCCUUUACCUGCUGGUGUAACCGCAUAUUGGCUGUGAGAGAGCAGAAAUGCAUCAACAGACAUCAGCUAUGACGACUGGAAUCGAGACGUCGGAAAUCCCAGACAUAGCUGCCCUGAUUUACGGGAAGACCAACUCAGGACUCUAGGCAGGUUCUCUGGAAAGACGUGCGCCGGCGAUGCAUGAAGGGCACGCAUUUCUACUCCUCCACUUUGGGGACACACAGCUGUGUAAAAACACAUGCUGAUCAGCCGGCGAGAGACAAACAAGGCUCCUGUCCCUCUGUCAAGUCUCUGACACACUCCAUCCAAGCUCAGGUCGCAGACGUGGUACUUCCCUCCGCCUGGAUUUCAACAAGCACGGAAAAACAUUCACAUUCAAUAUGUCACCAUCUGGCAAUGGUCGGGAUCGUGCUGUUUUGUCAGUCAUAAAAAUGCCGCAAUGUCUUAACAUAUUCGGGUCACUCUACAAAACAGGUGCCAUUUGUGUCUCUCAUAUACAUAUAGCAUAUGUAAAAAAUGGCUUUAGAACAAAUAGUGGAUGUCAACUUUUACUAUAUGUUAGACAUUAUUUUAACAUCAUAAAUAAUGUAUAAAUGUUUUUUUUUUUUCAUAACUUCUGGCCUUCAGUGUUUUCAGCUUGCUGCAAUGCAUACUCAUAGUACAUGUGUAAAAUAUGCACAUUUUGACUGAAAUAGAAAUAUAUGCAAAUAAAACUAAAUUUCUAUAUAGUAGGCUAUAUUAACAUAUAGACUGCUGUUCAAAGUACAUUUCUUUAAGAAAUGCAUACUUUUAUUCAUCAACGAUGCAUUAAAUUGAUCAAAAGUGACAGUGAAAACUUUUAUAACGUCACUAAAGAUUUCUAUUUAAAAUAAAUACAGUUCUUUUGAAUUUUCUGCUGAAAAUUCAGCUUUGCGUCACAGAAAUAAAUGACAUUUUAAAAUAUAAUAAAAUAUAAAACAGUUGUUUCGGUAACACUUUACAAUAAGGCUACAUUAAUAAUCAUGUACUAAUGCCUAAAUUAAUACUUAUUUCAUCACAUACUAAUGAUUAUUAAAGGCGUUAACUAAUUAUGAACUAACGAAGAGCCAUCCUUAAUUACGACUGGAGUCAUACGGAUUCAUGCAUGAAUAACGGCAGCCUUAACUACAUGUUAGUACAUAUUUGAUAGUUAAUGUAUUAAUUAACAUUUAUGGGUAAACUAAAUCAAACAGCCUCUUUAAGAAGGAAUAAGAAAUACUUUGAAGUUAAUUUGAUGAUCCUGCACUACCGCUCUCUGACUUCUUGAAAAUCCACACAGCAUCUCUUAACCGGGCUGAAUACUCACUGUGUUAGUACAUGUGUGUUUGAUAGAAAGUAUAACAUAAAUCAUGAGCUGAGUUUAGUAAGUAGUUAACAGUGAAUUCAUUAUCAUUGGGCCCCCUCAAGUAAAGUCAUGUCAAAAUCAGCUUUAACAAGCCAUUAGUUGAUGUUAGUGUAUGGGUAGUUAAUAAUGAGUUGACACAAUGACACAUUAACAAAUCAUCAAAUUAAAUACCAUUAAACAUGCUGUAAGAGUGUCC